rnacentral:rRNA from 1 species
UACGGAGGUUGCAAGCGUUGUUCGGAUUAACUGGGCGUAAAGGGAGCGCAGGCGGUUUGGUCAGUCUGAAGUGGAAGCCCGGGGCUCAACCUCGGAAGCGCUUUGGAUACUGCCAAACUUGAGUUCGUGAGAGGAGAGUGGAAUUCCAGGUGUAGCGGUGAAAUGCGUAGAUAUCUGGAGGAACAUCUGUGGCGAAAGCGGCUCUCUGGCACGAUACUGACGCUGAGGCUCGAAAGCGUGGGGAGCGAACAGG